GCGAUGCGAAGGGAAAUAUUCUCUCUCUAACAACUCAAAAAUAAAUAAAUCGACAAAAAAUAUACAUAUUUUUUUUAAUUGGGCAAUAUUUUUGAAUUCGUUAUCGCAAUAACUAAAUUGUGAAAUUAAUGUAUCUCAUAUGUACCUAACUUUAAUAAGUUCGGCUAACUUUACAUAAAAUUCGCAUAAUUAAGAGGUGAAAUUUUGCAAAAAUAAUAAUGUCACAUUCUCAACGAGUUUGUUUAUUUUGUCGAAAAAUUACCUGUCAAUCUACUGACUGUAGGUGUGCGUUGGAUUACGUUCCAUUGUUUCUAACUUAUCUGAAAACAAUUAAUAUUAAUAAAUAUUGCUUGGACAAUUUUCCCCGUACGGAAUUUCAUUCUUGUGACGAAUGUGGCUCUCUGCUUGGAACGAUUUCCCAACUUGUGCAAAAAUUGGGACAAGAAUUAAGGAAAAUUUACAAGGUCACGUUAGAAAAUUUAAGUGAGGACGGGGGGAACGUACUCCUGGAAAAAUUGAGAAGACAAAUUGUCUCUGAUGACACGGAAAUUAAAGGUUAUGUGACGGUCAAACUUAAGGAAGAAGAACAUGACCUCACUGAGGACGAGGACGAGGUCACCGUCAAAAUGGAAAUUGAAGAAGGCGAGGUCAAAGUUGAAAUUGGCGACGAGUUUAUUAUUCCAAACAUCGGUGAAGAUCCGCUCCUCCUGGACGAAGACCGGGGUGUCAUCGAGGGGAAUUAUCUUCAGCGGAAGGAUGAACUCGAUCCACUGGGGCCCCGUCCCCCGAAAAGGUCCCGAUUGUCAUCGGAAGAGGAACACUCAACAAAAUUAUGCGACAUCUCAAGAACUGAAUUAAAGAAAAUUAACAAAGUAAAAAAGGGCUCGUCGAAAAAUAAAGUUGGGUCGAAAACCGAGCCCCCCGUGGUGAAUGAAACCCUACCCCACGUGAACGCGACGUCUGAGUUGAAAUGCGACUAUUGUAACGUUACGACAGGUUCUUUGGCCAUUAUGACGCGUCAUUUACACAGUGAACAUUUAGGUCUUAUCUUCCCGUGCAUGCAACCUAGUUGCGCUGCCCGGUUUCCAACUCGUGACCUCUUACGCUUACACAGAUCGGGGUCCCAUUGUGUUAUAAAGUGUGACCAUUGCGAGCUCACUUUCACCUCGGCCGAAUCCCUGACCCAGCACAAAUCAGAGUUUCACCAAAAAUGUGAAAUUUGCGGGUUGCUAUUUCUCAGGUCCAAUUUCCCUCACCACGUCGAGAAAUGCCGCGAAGUAAGUGGCAAAAUCGGCGCGGCCAAUUCGGUGAGGGUAGCGAAGCAUAUUUCUGCGACGGGUGUAAUCACGUACGACUGCGGCGAAUGCAACGUCAAGAAACUAGGAGAGCGGGAAUUGUUGCUACAUAUUCGUGAAAAUCAUGCAGAACAGCAGUCCUUUAAGUGUCCCGCGUGCGAAAGCGCCUCAUCAUCCCAGGCCGCGUUGGAACUUCAUUAUCGCAAGUUGCAUAUGCAUUCCAUGCCCAACGGGAAACUAUGUACCACGUGCUAUAGCUUUUUCACCUCCCAGGAAGCACUGGACUACCACGUGCUCCUAGAGCACAAAAACGUGCCCAGCACGUCGAAUUGCAGGCAGGAAAAGGUGGUGUACCCCGCAGACCAACGAACGAUUGAAAAGUGUAAAUUCUGCGGUAAACAUGUGCUGGGAAGUAUGAAGAACAUUUUGGAACAUGAAACUAGGUGCCGCCAUGAGGUUAAAUCGUGGGGGAAAUAAAUUAAUAGAGGGGUGUACACUGGAUAAAUAAUUUUUAAGGAAGGACGACUAUGAUAAUUGUAUAUUUCCAUAAGUAUUUACUUAGUAUGCCCAAGUUAACUUUACCUUGGGCAUGCUAUGUACAUAUAAAGAAGAGUAAAAAAUGUUUCUAUAAAAUGCAUAGCCUGUCUUCCUGUAAUUGAACACAUACAUACAUAUAGAAAUACUUUUUCGGGAGGUUAUGCAUUGAAAAAUACGAACUGGGAACUUUGCCGGUGUAACCAAGUCAAAAUUAGAUUUUGGCAACUUUGGGGGUGUAACCAAGUCAAAAUU